rnacentral:misc_RNA from 1 species
AACGCACCUUGCGCUCUAUGGUAUUCCGUGGAGCAUGCCUGUUUGAGUGCCGUGAAUUCUCUCUCCCCAAGCGGUUGCGAUUAUUGCGCUGCUUUUGGCGGACGAGGUUGAAUGGGUGCUUCUGCCUGUUUCUUGCUAAACAGGCUCGCCCGAAAUGCAUUAGCGCCUUUUUGGGACACAAUCUCUGCAAUACCGCUCCUAAAGGGAGGGCGGCAGAGAGCGGGGGGGUUCCCACCCGUUAGCCAUACCAAACUUUGCCCAGGCAAGCGCAUGGCAUGAUACGUCAUUUGCUGUGUGCGCGCUCUAGGCAAGGGGCCGACGCGGUGCCUUCUGCACUCUGUGAGUUGUGUUGGUGCGCUACCAUCCUGCGUGGAGGCUGGUCCGUGCGAGCAGCCUUGUGAACGCAUUCCCUUUUUCAUUUCUGGUCUCAAAUCAGGUAGGAUCACCCGCCGAACUUAA